rnacentral:rRNA from 1 species
UGAUCUACAAUCGUAGCUUCAAAGAAAUAUGCCAAGAGACGCAAUCAAAAAAUUCUGAAUAAACAAGCUGAAUUCGAUUCUAUAAAUUCGUGUUGCAGUUCAUUCGAACUGCAAUGCAACCAGUUAUGCCUGAUGACCAUAGCGAGGUGGUCCCACUCCUUCCCAUCCCGAACAGGACAGUGAAACACCUCCGCGCCGAUGAUAGUGCGGGUUCCCGUGUGAAAGUAGGUCAUCGUCAGGC